ensembl:processed_transcript 5830418P13Rik RIKEN cDNA 5830418P13 gene
AGUUCGCGGCGAGCAAGCUAGCAGGGCAGUGGAGGCUUGGCUGAAAUGGAGCCAGGGCGUGGUAGGAUGCCACAUCCUUCUGUAGCUGGCUCUUGCACGCCAGCAGGUGUGCCCGCUCCUGCUGCUGCUGUUCUGUCUCUGAGCGGAUCUCUGCCAGCUCUGCCUCCAGCCUGCCCACCACGGCACCCAGGUUCUGCAGUUCCAUGUCAUGCCAGUGCUGGGCGUCGUGCAAGCUGUUUUCCAGGCCUCGUUUCUACAAAAGAGUGAAGGUUAUCGGCUUGGGCGGUCCAGGUUGCUAGCUUUCGGAUCAUGACUCCUGCAUUGGUACCUCUGGCGCAGAUGUCUACGUUGGCUAUGGGUGCUUCGGUUGGGGAAGCUGGGAGAAGAUGCACCCCAGACUUCCCUUUCGGUCAUCGCGGCCAUGAAUGGAUUGAGUCCCGGCUUUUACACCUCCUGUGAAGCUUUCACACCCACACUGCCUUUUCUCCCCCAACACUGUGGCCUGGGAUUGGAUGUUUAUCACCCAAGACAGGGUCUCACUGUAUAGUUCUGGCCACUUACUCUGUAGACCAGACUGGCUUCGAACUCACAGAGCUCCCUCUGCCUGCCAAGCUGCUGGGAUGAAAGAAGCCCACAGAGGUCAGAAGAGGCAUUGGAACCCCUGGAACUGAAGUCACAGACGUUGUGAGCUGCCGUGUGGGUGCUAGAAACAGAAUCUGGGUCUUCUGUAAGAGCAGAGAGAAGGCAGUGAAAAUACCAAAUGUCACCAUGAACAGCCAUCGGACGGAUGAGACAUCCAUAAGAAGAGCUACCUGUGACCUUGGAGCCACGUGGCCCUUCUCUCUAGGGAGAGAAAUGAAUGACUUGUGGUCUUCAUUAGUAACACUGAAUGUCAGGCAGGCUGGAAGCUUGUUAUAGGGAGAUCUGGGAGAGCUAACAGUGGGGUGUUCUCACCCCCUACUCUCCCUCUGACCUGAAAUGCCACUGUCACAACUAUAUGCUUUAAUGCCAGGUUCCCCACUCAAGGAGACAGUAUGUGGUGAUUUGAAUAUAUACUGUCCCCUCCCCUUAUAAGACUUAAGUGUUAUAGCCUCAAUCCUCGGGUGGUGGAGCUAUUUUGGAAGGUUCUAAAAACUUAAUGAGGUUGGAAGCCUAGUUAUGGGGAAAGAGGCCCCUGGGACAUGUUCUUGGGGCUGUGUCUUUCCAUGACCUUUCCUCUGUCCCUGCUUCCUGGUCAUCCUGAGGUCAUCAGCUUUCCCUUCCACCAUAAUGUUCCGCCUCACCACAGCCCAGAAACAAUGAUGCUGGCUGUCUGGACCGAAAGGCUUCAAACUGUGAAAGAAAAAGAAGCCUUUCUUCCAUUUAAAGUCAUUUAUCCAGGUAUUUUGUUACAGCAACACAGGGCUGACAAACCUGGCUCGUCAGAGCAAUGUCAGUAAGAACUGAUUGUGGGAUUGCAUGGUCUUGAGGGAAAGAGGCUCGGGACCUGUAAGUAGCGACAGAGGGAGAAACACAUGCUUUUCUAGAGGACAUCUUGGAUGGAUUCCAGAGAUGGGCAGUGAGAGGCUGCGGUGGGUUACAGAGUAAAUUCUGAGGGGCUGGUGAGGAACAGAAGACAUGGUGAUGGCUGUUGCUGUUGAGGGAGGGAUGGCUGUUGAGGGAGGGAUGGCUGUCAGAGGUUUAUUUCCCCCUAGCCCUCCUCAUGGAGGUGUCUUUAGGAUACCUUAUCUAGUGGUUCUUCAAGGGCAGUCCCCAGCAUCCCUGGGAGCUCAUGGGAAAGGACCAUACCCCACGUCAGUGUAAGAUCAGGAUUUCUGAAGCUGCAUUACAAGAAUCUGUGUUUUUACCAUCCACCCCCUCUCCUGUGUUGAACAAAUGUUUUUGUGUAGAGAGGAAUCACAACCAUCAAAUAAUGGCUGCCAUUCACUGUCUACUCAGAGUGUGCCAGGCAGCUUGCUGAACAGGGUCUCUCUCUCUCUCCCUCUUUCCCAUCCCCGCCCCUCCCCCACACACCUUGGAGAAUCAGUGGCUUGUGGAACAAGCGCUCCUUCUAGACUGCCCUUACUCUUGUUCAUGUGGUUGCCUGUGACACCUGGAUCACCUGUCAUUCCUUACAACCCUGGUUGUCUCAUAAAUCCUACAUUACAAUAAUGUUCAUUUCGU